rnacentral:rRNA from 1 species
GACGAACGCUGGCGGCGUGCCUAAUACAUGCAAGUUGAGCGCUGAAGGUUGGUACUUGUACCGACUGGAUGAGCAGCGAACGGGUGGGUAACGCGUGGGGAAUCUGCCUUUGAGCGGGGGACAACAUUUGGAAACGAAUGCUAAUACCGCAUAAAAACUUUAAACACAAGUUUUAAGUUUGAAAGAUGCAAUUGCAUCGCUCAAAGAUGAUCCCGCGUUGUAUUAGCUAGUUGGUGAGGUAAAGGCUCACCAAGGCGAUGAUACAUAGCCGACCUGAGAGGGUGAUCGGCCACAUUGGGACUGAGACACGGCCCAAACUCCUACGGGAGGCAGCAGUAGGGAAUCUUCGGCAAUGGACGAAAGUCUGACCGAGCAACGCCGCGUGAGUGAAGAAGGUUUUCGGAUCGUAAAACUCUGUUGGUAGAGAAGAACGUUGGUGAGAGUGGAAAGCUCAUCAAGUGACGGUAACUACCCAGAAAGGGACGGCUAACUACGUG